rnacentral:rRNA from 1 species
UACGGGGGGGGCAAGCGUUGUUCGGAAUUACUGGGCGUAAAGGGCCAGUAGACGGCCAACUAAGUCACACGUGAAAUCCCCAGGCUUAACCUGGGAACUGCGUGUGAUACUGGAUGGCUUGAAUUCGGGAGAGGGAUGUGGAAUUCCAGGUGUAGCGGUGAAAUGCGUAGAUAUCUGGAGGAACACCGGUGGCGAAGGCGGCAUCCUGGACCGAUAUUGACGCUGAUGCGCGAAAGCCAGGGGAGCAAACGGG